UCUUGGUCCAUUAGAGGAAGUAAAAGUCGUAACAAGGUUUCCGUAGGUGAACCUGCGGAAGGAUCAUUACCGAAUUGUUGUACACGUAGUUGUUGCUGGUCCCCAGAUGGGGGCAUGUGCACGCUCUGUUUACACAUCCACUCACACCUGACUCACCCAUCAUAGUUAAGUGGUUCAGGAGGCUCUGUCCCCUGCGCCAUGGCUCUGUACCUUUACAACUACACACCGCAACGAAGACUCAUGGAAUGUAUUCCGCGUUUAACGCAAUAUAAUACAACUUUCAGCAACGGAUCUCUUGGCUCUCGCAUCUGAUGAACAACGCAACGAAAUGCGAUAAGUAAGGUGAAUUGCAGAAUUCACUGAAUCAUCCAAUCUUUGAACGCACCUUGCGCCCUUUGGCUAUUCCGAAGGGCAUGCCUGUUUGAGUAUCAUGAACAUCUCAACUCUCAUGGUCUGCCAUGAUGAGCCUGGAUUUUGGGGGCCUUUCCUGGAUUGUGUCACCUCCUCCCAAAGGAAUCAACUCGCCAAUGCCGGGCGAGCAUCACGAGUGUGAUAACUGUCAUACACUGGUGGUUUUCCACCCGGUAACCUUCACCGAUGGAGGUUCACGUGGGGCUCAUAAAUGUCUUUCCCCAGAGAAGACAGCUCUUUGAACAUUUGAUCUCAAAUCAGGUAGGACUACCCGCUGAACUUAAGCAUAUCAAUAGCGGGAGGAA
rnacentral:rRNA from 1 species